rnacentral:rRNA from 1 species
UAUCCAUUGGAGGGCAAGUCUGGUGCCAGCAGCUGCGGUAAUACCAGCUCCAAUAGCGUAUAUUAAAGUUGUUGCAGUUAAAAAGCUCGUAGUUGGACUUGUGUGCGCUGUCCGCGGGUGGCCUGCGCCCAAAAGGGCGUUUCGGUUCGGCCCCGGUGGCGCCUUGAAAUCUGCAGCUGGGGGGACGUUGGCCUUAACUGGUCGGCGACCGCACGCCGGCUGCUCGGUUACUGUGAGAAAAUUAGAGUGUUCAAGGCAGGCAUUGGGUGCAAUUGAAUACAUUAGCAUGGAAUAAUAAAAUAUGGCUCCUGCCGUAUUUUGUUGGUUUUGACUGGUGGGAGUAAUGAUUGAUAGGGACGGUUGGGGGUGCUAGUAUUGAGCGGCCAGAGGUGAAAUUCAUGGAUUCGCUCAAGACUAACUUAUGCGAAAGCAUUCACCAAGGACGUCCUCUUUAAUCAAGAACGAAAGUUGGGGGAUCGAAGACGAUCAGAUACCGUCGUAGUCUCAACCAUAAACUAUGUCGACUUGGGAUCGGCGGUAGUUUUUUCAUUAAGACACUGUCGGGACCACGGGAGAAAUCAAAGUGUCUGGACUCUGGGGGAAGUAUGGUCGCAAGGCUGAAACUUGAAGGAAUUGACGGAAGGGCACCACCAGGAGUGGAGCCUGCGGCUUAAUUUGACACAACACGGGGAAACUUACCAGGUCCAGAGAUGUAGAGGAUUGACAGAUUGAAGCUCUUUCUUGAUCACUUCGGUGGUGGUGCAUGGCCGCUCUUAGUUGGUGGAGUGAUUUGUCUGGUUAAUUCCGUUAACGAACGAGACCUCAGCCUGCUAGUGUAGUCGGCUGGAUUGCCUUUGGCGAUCCGUGAUUUCGACUUCUUAGAGGGACAAUCGACGCGCAGUCGAUGGAAGUUUGAGGCAAUAACAGGUCUGUGAUGCCCUUAGAUGUUCUGGGCCGCACGCGCGCUACACUGCUGGGCUCAGCGAGUUUUACUUGGCCGAGAGGCCCGGUUAAUCUUGUGAAAUCCCAGCGUGCUUGGGCUCGCCUCCUGCAACUGGAGGCGCCAACGAGGAAUUCCUAGUAGACGCAGGUCAUCAACCUGCAUCGAUUACGUCCCUGCCCUUUGUACACACCGCCCGUCGUUCCAUAAGAGUGAGGCAUCCGGUGAAUUCUCGGGAGAGCCUGGGCGUGGCCAGCAAUGGUCUGCUCGGGUUUGAACUUGCAUAAACUUGGUGCCUAUGAUUAGGG